rnacentral:lncRNA from 1 species
GCGAAGCUGUGGGCUGCCACGGGGUGGGGUCGGCCAGGCUUCUCUGUGCCCCCGGCUGGGUUGCCUUUUCUGUAGGGGUGCGCUGAGAGUGCUGGGGGCUCGGGAAGGACUGAUGAAGGUGACAUGACCAGAAUGUCCUUUUUUCUCUGUCACUUGUCUGUUUCAGCACCUUUCGUAUAAAAGCCCACACUACCCUUUGUAUGCCGACCUUUGUACCGGGAGCGCGUGUUACUACUUUCUCCAUUAAAAACCAAAAUGAACUGAGCAUAAACGUCAGCUGCACAGGUUCUGCUCUCGCUGCUGACAGGGCGGGCCAGCUCUGCUGGUGGCUUGGGGGACUGCCACCUGGGGGAGAGGUAAGCAGAGUCACACACUGGGGGAUCUGGCAGCAGACCAAGGGGUAGGCUGACCCUGGCAGGUGGCCCUCAGUGGCUAACCUCUGUUGAUUAAUAUGUGACACAUGUUUUCCAUCCUGGUGGGACAGGAAGCAGAGUGCCAGCUAACACCACCUCCUACCACAUCCGUCCAUCCCAGUGAUGAUGGCCCGGUGUGGAGGUGGAGGUCAGCUCCCCGCCGGGCCCUCCUGUUGUAAGGGGAGGGGAGUCCAAGUGCGACGACCCUGCUUUGCACCAUCUUCUUCGGCCUGUUGGUGCCCAGUGGGGGAGAUCGGCUCCCUGCCAGGCCCUGCCGAACUGUGACGGUGGGGGUGGCUUUUCCACUGGUGUCUGGCCUAAGUAAAGCAGGUGUUUCCAAACAGAUGUUUCUGUUGUUAGGUCACCGUAAGGUUAGGAACAGUUCUGAAGACCUUCUCAGUCCUCACACCAAUACUAAAUGGGGAGUGGGGUCCCAAGACCCCCCUCAGGUUGGAUAAUUCACUGGAAGGACACGCGGAGCUCACGGGAAGGUAUUGUACUCACCGUUACGGUUCAUCACAGCAAAGGAUUCAGCUUACAAGCCAGCAGAAGAGACGCAGGGGAAGAGUUGUCCCCUCCCAGGGGAGGUCUGGACAACACCGACUCCAGCUUCCACUGAUGAGGGACCGCGUGCGUGGAGUCCUCCCCCCACGUCUUCGUGUCCAGCCUCUCCUGGGGCUUUGUCAUCAAACGGUUGACUCCCCACAGGGCUGACCUCAACCUCCAGCCCCUCUGAGGUCGGGCUGACACUGGGACCCAAAGCCCCUCCAGCCGCCAAUCACAUUGUUAGCCUAAGGCCCCCAGUAAACACUCCU